UACGUAGGUGGCAAGCGUUAUCCGGAUUUAUUGGGCGUAAAGAGAGUGCAGGCGGUUUUCUAAGUCUGAUGUGAAAGCCUUCGGCUUAACCGGAGAAGUGCAUCGGAAACUGGAUAACUUGAGUGCAGAAGAGGGUAGUGGAACUCCAUGUGUAGCGGUGGAAUGCGUAGAUAUAUGGAAGAACACCAGUGGCGAAGGCGGCUACCUGGUCUGCAACUGACGCUGAGACUCGAAAGCAUGGGUAGCGAACAGGAUUAGAUACCCUGGUAG
rnacentral:rRNA from 1 species